rfam:Lipomyces starkeyi NRRL Y-11557 unplaced genomic scaffold LIPSTscaffold_5, whole genome shotgun sequence.
UUGUAUGAUGAUAAAGAGCCCAGGCGGCUCGAAAUUUUUAAACCCAGCUCGUCGACUUGUCUCCUUUAACGCGGGAGAGUAUCAUGAGAUGAAAGUUUAAUCUGAUCC